rnacentral:rRNA from 1 species
AGUGCGCUACGGGAGGCAGCAGUAGGGAAUUUUCGGCAAUGGGGGGAACCCUGACCGAGCAACGCCGCGUGAAGGAAGAAGGAAUUCGUUCUGUAAACUUCUGUUAUAAAGGAAGAAAGACGGAUGGAGGAAAUGACAUCCGAGUGACGGUACUUUAUGAGAAAGCCACGGCUAACUACGUGCCAGUAGCCGCGGUAAUACGCAGGUGGCAAGCGUUAUCCGGAAUUAUUGGGCGUAAAGAGGGUGCAGGCGGCAGCAAAGGUCUGUGGUGAAAGACUGAAGCUUAAC